rnacentral:misc_RNA from 1 species
AUCUUUUGGAAAUAUUGAGCAGUAGACAAAGCAUUGUUUCAAAGCAGCAGGGAGAUGAAGAUAGCUCAAGCUUAAAGCGGGUAGAAUUCCCCUACUGUCAGAUAUGGACCAGAAUUUGCUGUUCAAUAAAUCUUCCCAAUUGUCAAUAUUAGUUUUGGAUCGCAAAAGACCACCGAUUAUGGAUACUGCCAAGGGCAAACCUUUGCAUUUUCUCACAAUUUUCUUGCCAAUGAACUCCAGCUGUGGAUUUAUGCUAGAUUCAUUCUCAAAUGCAUGUUGCCUAAGCAACGACCAGCAAUCUUCUUCUGGCAAUUGCUCAACAUAGUGGUCGGGGACAGUGCGCAUGAUUGAUGAAACACCCACAUUCCUUGUAGUUAUCAAAAUCUUGGAAACUUGUAAACCAGUUAUAAAAGGCUUUCGAAAGGCAAUCCAUUGAUCAUAAUCCUCGUUCCAUACAUCAUCUAGAAUGAGGAGGAACUUCUUGCCAGACAAUUUCUCCUGCAGAUUCACUUGUAGACUAUUCAAAUCAUUUGCUGCACAAGUGUCCGGGCUAAUUGACUCAAGUAUAGUCUUAGUUAGCUUUUUGACAUCAAAUCGAUCAGACACACAAACCCACACCUUCAAGUCGAAAUGCUCCUUCACCAUAUGGUCAUUGUAGACAAAUUGAGCAAGGGUUGUCUUGCCAACCCCUCCCAUUCCAACAAUUGGUAUCACGCAGACACCAUUAGAACUAACAUUUUCAUCAGAUACCAACAUUCGAAUGAUCUUCUCUCUAUCAUCAUUUCUACCAAAAACACGAGGCUCACUCAAUAAGGAAGUUGUCUCUAGUCUUUGUCCUGCUCGAGAUGAACUCCCCCCAACAGUAUCACUCAAACCAAUAACAUCUUUUUGAUUUACAAGGUAUUCUAAUGUAUCAACGAUUCUAUUAAUUUUGGAUUCUGUCCCCUCCUUAAACCCACAUACAGUAUCAGAAAUUAUCUUGCGACAUUUAGAGAAGACAUCCCAUACCUUUCUAUUGAUCUGAGACUUGGGUUCCAGCUGAUCUUCCAUUGCUUUGAAUGCAAUCUCAUCCAACACAUCCUCUGCAUCGUAAACCACAUGUUUGAGCUGCUUCAGCCAAGCUCCAUUAACAGGCUUCUCAAAUCGCUUUUCCUCUGCAUCAUUCACAACUGUAGCAACAAAGGGUAAUAUUAACUUCAACUUCUCCAGGGGCUUAUUGAGCUCCCCUCCCCUUAUAAAGUUCAAGAAGUCCAAAGAAAGCAACUUAUCCAACACACCCUCAAGAAAAGUAGAAAGAACAACCUCCCCAACAACAUCCAUACCCUGAAAAUGGAGGAGAAGAUUGGAAUAUGGUAAGAUCAGCUACUCUUAUAUAUAACUACGUAACUGACAGGAAGUGGAAAGUAGGUGAAGAUCGAACGCAGAGUUGAAAAAGUACUGGAAGAGUAAAACUCCAGCUCAGAUCAACUGGACAUACCUAACUAUUUCUUUAAUGGAAACAAGAGGUUGGGCAUAGGUGCAGCAAGCAAUCAACCAUCUUCAGCUCUAGAAGAUGAGAUGAUAACAAAGGCGU